GAUGAACGCUGGCGGCGUGCCUAAUACAUGCAAGUCGAGCGAACAGACGAGGAGCUUGCUCCUCUGACGUUAGCGGCGGACGGGUGAGUAACACGUGGAUAACCUACCUAUAAGACUGGGAUAACUUCGGGAAACCGGAGCUAAUACCGGAUAAUAUAUUGAACCGCAUGGUUCAAUAGUGAAAGACGGUUUUGCUGUCAAUUAUAGAUGGAUCCGCGCCGCAUUAGCUAGUUGGUAAGGUAACGGCUUACCAAGGCGACGAUGCGUAGCCGACCUGAGAGGGGGAUCGGCCACACUGGAACUGAGACACGGUCCAGACUACUACGGGAGGCAGCAGUAGGGAAUCUUCCGCAAUGGGCGAAAGCCUGACGGAGCAACGCCGCGUGAGUGAUGAAGGUCUUCGGAUCGUAAAACUCUGUUAUUGGGGAAGAACAAAUGUGUAAGUAACUAUGCACGUCUUGACGGUACCUAAUCAGAAAGCCACGGCUAACUACGUG
rnacentral:rRNA from 1 species